CAACUCACAGUCACAGCAACAGACAUCUGAUAUCCGCUUACAAAUAUGAAACAGGGUAUUGAUUCAGCAUUCAUAAAAAUAGGAAAAAGGUUACUAAUUUUCUAUGGAAAUUUCAAAUACGCAUGACUGUGGCUGAGAAUAACGUGAAUUACGAGCUAAAGUCUCUUACCAAUACAUGUGACUGUCAGGGCAGAAUCCUCAAGUUGACAAAAAAAGAAAACAUAGCACCAACUACAGGGGUUCAUUUUG
rnacentral:lncRNA from 1 species